CAGCCCUGAAACAAGCUGUGGAGUGUGUCGACUAAACCCUGAUCUCAGUUUAACAGUUAAACAGCAUUUUAUUACAUCUCAGUCCUCGGAUUUAUCACCUCAACAGUUGGUGAAUGAUCAACAGUUCCUCUUUCACUUUAAACUUGUGUCCGUGAAGCUCUAUAAAAGCAGCAGAACCAUCAUCUCUGCAGCUCAGUGAGGAACAAACAGCUCGACUAGACCAACUCAGACCUGGUGUCCCUUCUCUGACACUCAGACCAUGGCUUUCUUUGCUGCUCUUGGCUGUAAAGCACUGGCACCUGUUGUUGUACCAGCUGUUGGAGGAUUAGCUGUAGGACUGCUUGCAGCUGCUGGCCUGAGUCGCCCAAGAAAACUGAGCGUCAAACGUGGCACCCCAUGGACGACUGCGACUGUGAGACACACUGACACAGAUGACGAACUGUGCUUAUAUGAGAUCACUGAAAGAGACGACACAGAGACUCAAAGUGAGCAAAAUGAAGAGAGUGGAGGUGGACACCAGGGAGAAGGGGGUCAGGGAGGUGGACACCAGGGAGAAGGGGGUCAGGGAGGUGGACACCAGGGAGGAGGGGGUCAGGGAGGUGGACACCAGGGAGGAGGGGGUCAGGGAGGUGGACACCAGGGAGGAGGGGGUCAGGGAGGUGGACACCAGGGAGAAGGGGGUCAGGGAGGUGGACACCAGGGAGGAGGGGGUCAGGGAGAGAAAGAAAGUGAUCAGGUGAGUGAAAGUGAAGAAGAGACAGAUGAUAAAAACAAGAAGAGUGGUAGAAUUCAAAAGACGAAGCGUCAGGGUCGUCGCUCUGGUCAGAAGCAGCAAAGCGUCAGCAGCAUUAACAUCAAAAGCAGCCGAGAGCCUGAAACCAACCACGACCUUCCUGCGAUGAUAUUGAUGGGUUUGCUCAACGUGAGGUCGCUGAAUAACAAAAUACUCAGAAUCUUAAAGCUGAUACUGAAACACAGACUGCAUGUUUUUUGCACCACAGAGACGUGGUUAAAAGACGACACGGGAGACACUGUACUCAGGAGAGCAUCACCAGAGGAUUACAGAUUCUGUUACCAGGCAAGGCUGACUAGAGGCGGGGGGGCAGCCAUUCAGGUCUCCCCAGUGCUGCAGAGUGUCCAGAUUCUGUUUAACUGUGAAACAACAACCUUCGAAGUUGCUGCCACAGUCCUGCAACAUCCAGACUGGGGCGAACCUGUGCUGGUCAUCAGCCUGUAUCGUCGCGGGUCCACUGGGGCCAAAUUCCACAAAUUUCUGGAUGAGUUUCAAGAGGUUUUGUGUGAGAUUUUUAAUCUCUGCAACAAUGUCAUUGUGACUGGAGAUUUCAACGUCUGGGUGGAUAAUCUGAGGAGAGGAAGAAAGUUUAGGUGUUUGUUGCAGGCAUAUGAGCUCGAUCAGCAGGUGAAGGUGCCAACAACCCACAGAGGUCACACUCUGGAUCUGGUCAUCACUCGAAAUGUGGAAAUCUCUGGUCUCUUUGUCCAAAAUGAUGGAAUAUCAGAUCACUACAGCGUCUAUUUCAGUGCUAGACCAGGGCCAAAAAACAAAAGGCAGAAAACUGAAGUAAAGAAGGAGGAAGCUGAGAACAAAGAAAAACACAAGAAGAAGAAGAAAGACUAAAAAAUAUGUAGAGUUUGACAAUAUAUAAACAAAGAAUACUAAUACGAUUCCAAUUAGUUUGAAAGGAUUCAAAAUGUUGGACUUACAUGGAAAAACAUCUCACACAUUUUAUGUCUUUACUUAUUAUCGUUAAAUUAAUUAUAAUAACACUGUUAUUUUAUUCAAAUUUUUCCUCUUUCAAUGAGACAGAUUUGAUGGAAAAUGAAGCAUAAACAAAGAAAACCUUAAAGAAAUUUAAAGAUGUGACCUGAGUCUGAGAAACACUGACGACCUAAAACGUCUGAUGUUACUUUAAACAGCAACUGAAAUCAUGAGCAUUGAUGUGUUCAACUCAGACAGCAGAGGUUUCUUCUUUUUGACCGUGAAUUUUGAAAUGCAUUGCAUCUCAGAACAAUCACAGUGUUUUCAUCUAUAUUUAAGAUUAGUUGAAGUUGAAAUUGUUUAUUUUAAAUUCAUUUAGUUUUGCUUGUGUGGCUGAUGGAGGGACCUCGUGAUUUGAGGCUUUGCUGCCUCAGGAACUCAUCAUGAAGGGAAAAUGAAUUUCCAGGUGUAUCCAGGUAUCAGAGUAUCUGUCUGUGAGCUGAAGCUGAGAAGAAGCUGAACAAGGACCCUAAACAUCACACUGGUCUACUAAAGAACAGCUCCAAACACUUAUGUUCACUGUGACCCAUGUACUAAGAUGGACCUCUUAGUCAUAUGUCAGUGGAGUUCUCUUUGUUCCUGCUCUCUUUCAGGGUCACAGCCUCCCACUUAUAUGAAGAGGUUUAUAUGUUUGUUCACUUCCCUCUGCAGACUGUCGGUCUUUCUUUGCAAGGAAGUCAAUUCACAAAAGACAGAUGUGUCGCUGAUGUUCCUGUUGACUUUUAAUAAAUGACAUAAUUCUGUUCAACAUUUAGUGUGAACUGUCUCUUUGUCAGGAUCAUGAAAGUCAUUCUAUAUUUGUCAAUGAGUGUCUCUGUGAUUUCAGUCUGGUGAAACACCAAAGUGUCAAAGACGACCUGUUGGUGAGAUGAAACAUUUAUUUUAUCUCUGUGUCAGUUACAGUACUGAGGUUUGAGAAGGGGUUGAAUCAGAUACGUGCUGUCUGACAUGUCCUGAUUACAGCUGUUUACGGUUUACAGGAACUCACAGGUUUUAAUAACAGUCCAUGAGAUCAGUGGGAGUUCGG
ensembl:lncRNA